CACGUGUACUUUAUACGAAAACAGGUAUUCUUUUUUUCUUAUUCCCAAAUCCUAAUGUUGGUUGAAUUCCUUUUACUUCUACUUUAGCAUUUCUUGUAUGUGUUCUCCUUCUCAGAGUUUUUCGCCAGAAAUGCAUGAAAAAUGAGGCCGAAAGGUUAUAGACCUUUUGAUUUUGCUCGAUUUCAUCUAGGGAGCCAUCAUUUUACUUGUGAAGUUCUUUUAGUCUUUAUACCUUUUUCUUUUCAUUUUGAUGUCUCUGGAUAAGAUUUAUUCAUAUUACAUUUUUUUAUUACAAGACUUAUACUUGCUUAUUGCCUGUGUAUUCAAAUGCGAGAUUGCAGGUUGAUAGAAUGGGAGGUGCACCAUGUAGAAUUUCUCCUAUUUUAUAUGCAAAUUUCAUUUGGUUGAUAGGUUCAUAUAGGGAUUCUGCUAAUUUUUUGGACAGUAAUUGGUUCAAGGGUGAAUGUGGCUAAGAGGGUAAAAAGACUUCUAAACUAAAAGCUACAAGUCAUAUCCAACUUUUAGAUUUUUGUCUUUGUCUUUUCUGGCAAUCAAACAUUACAGAAAAUGAGCUUAAAUUCAAAAGCAUCUAAAGGAGUAUUGUGUACAACAUAUAUGCAGACCAUUUUCUAUGGGGAUUAGAUGAAAGGUUAGAGAGUUACCUAAAUUCACAUAUGUGCAAAGAAGAAUGAUAAAAGUAUCUGACAGAGGUAUUAACAUGUGAAAUCCUAUCAACUGUGGAAUCAAAAUGAGUUGGCUUCUUUCUACAUGCAUCAACUUAAAUGAUCUGGGAUGAAGCAUAAGAAAUUCAGAUUCAAAAAAUCUACUCCAUCUACAAUUUUGAUACUGAAAACAAAUUAUACUCUUUAACUAUGCUUCAUCUUCUCGAAUUCCGAUUGAGGGCAAAUAGAGGCAAGAGAGACUCAACUCUCAAAAAUUUGUCUCUCAACCUCUUCCGAAAUCUGUGUCUCAACCUCUUCAAGCUCCAUUUAUGUGAAACUGAUUAUAAUGAGUGAAUUUUAGAAGAAAAAAAAAGAAUGACUAUUGCUUUUGAUAUAUUGAGAGCUAUUUACAACGGGAAAGUCCACGAAAAAAUGGCAAGUGCUGCAUACCUUGAAGGAAGGUGGCAGGUUCUAUUAUUUUUGCUAAAUAGUUUGGAUCUCACUGCUUGGGUUAGUUGUUGAACUUUCUUCAUGACUUACUCCUGUUUUGCUCAAUUUUUCAAACUAUGAAAUUUCCUAUUGAUGGAUAUGUGAUUGUAGUUUAUGGAUUGAGAGCCCUAAGAUUUUUAAUUCGGCUCUCUAAUUUCACUAAUGUAAUCGUAGAUAGUAAUUUACAUAAAUGCAUAUAUACUUCAAUCAACUUAGUCUUAAUCAAUUACCUGAAGAAAUUGGUAAUUGCUUUAAACAUCCUAUAAUGUUGAUAAAUAGGGAUGAUCGAAACAAUAUAUUAGGUACAAUGUAUUCUAACUUAAAAGGUCAUAAUUGCUUCACUAUUGCAAGGUAUUCAAUUGUGUUAAAGCUGAAAAUACAUCUAUUUACCUGUAACAAUGCUUCACCUUUUCUGUCUCGCUGUUUAUAUAAUACUCCUAUCAUUUCAAUUUAUUUUUCCUAUUUUGAUUUGACACGAAGUUUAAGAAAAUAAAGAAGAAUUUUGAAUUGUGUGGUCCUAAGGGAAAGAGAUAUUCUUUGGGACUAAAAGGAAAGUAGGACAAAUAAAUUGAAAUUGAUGGAGUAGUUCGCCUUUGUAAGUAUCACUUGUGUAAUAAUAACUGUUAUGUUCAGUUUUUCGAAGGAAAUGAGGCAUGAGACAGAAAGAUGAUUUCAUGAAUUUAGACAUUCAUCCGUAAUUGCAUUUAAUGUCGUUUGAAUUCCCGUGGAGUUGAUGUGAAAAAUGUAGCUAUAACAUAGAGGAAAGAACAUACUGAUGAAAACACCUCUGAAGUAUGGCAAUGCCAACAUUAAUGGCCUUGGUUUCUUCUCUUAUUUGAUGUCUGUUUCUCCCUAUCUGUUCCCAAAUUGGAUACCUUCCAUACAUGUUUUUCUAAGAAUAUGUCAGUUACGAAGUACAUGUCUAGCUUAAGUGAUGAUUUAACAGCAUGGUGAAUUUUUUUUAUCAAUUGAUAUUAUGUUUUCAUUCACAGUGAUGUUAAUCAGGCUUUCGGUGACCAAAGCGAUGGAUCCCUUGGAGUAAGGGUACACCUUUGAGAUUAUUGUUCUGUUACCAAUAUCUCAAAAUCUUUUCACAAUACAAUACAUUAUAACUGGUGAUCUCACUUUAGGCUCGCGAAAAGAGGGCAAUUUGAUUGCUACACCCUUUACUGGAUUUUUGAUGGCUAAUUUUGAAGAUAACGUGAUGAUUGGUUUGUAUUGGGGCGGUGAAAUAAUCACGGAAAUGAACAAAUUUUGAUAUAAUGAAUGUGCCAGAAUGAUUGUUAGCAUGUCUAUUUAGAUUAACUACGUUGAAUUAAUUAGAUUGUUGCAUGAGAAAAGGGGGACUGAUGGAGAAAUAUUCAAUUGGAUAUUUCUGAAAAAUAUCCAUGCUCAUUUCAAGGUAACAUUAUAAGAUUUAUUGAGUUCAAAAUUGAGAAUGACCAGUCUUUGGUACAAUUUCUUGCCAUUCCUUCGAAUUUUUUUAACAAGAUUGAUAUAAAUCUUUUGGAGAUGUAUAUAAAGAUUAAAUCAAUAAAUCAAGAUAAUCUAUUUCAAAUGAAUGAUCAACAAUGGCUAUCUCAAAAUUAUGGAUUUGUCGCAUUCAGUCAGCCUCAUUUGGCAUACACUGCAUCACAUGGUAUUCAUCAAUAAUUUGAUGAAGGCUCAGAUAUUCAAAGACAUAUUGAGAGUAGCCAUAAUCAAUAUGAAAUCAGAGAAGAUGAGACCACCUUUGAUUUGUGUAAUGACGCACAUGAUCAAAGAAGUGUUGAAAGUUCGGAGGAGGAUGAGCCUUCAGAAGAUGACGGAGAGAGUGAAGUCAUUGAAAGUGAAUCUGAUGAAGAUAUUGGAGACUUAUCUCAAAAUGAAAGUUCAGUAAAUUUUCAAAAUCAAUUUGAUGAAAUGUAAAAUAAUGGUAUACCUUACUUUACAACAUUGGAGACUGGGGAAGAUAUUUUUAUCUCUACUCGUGAAUUUGAAAUAAAAUGUUAUUCUGUUUGGGUCGA